rnacentral:rRNA from 1 species
ACUCCUACGGGAGGCAGCAGUAGGGAAUCUUCCACAAUGGGUGCAAACCUGAUGGAGCAAUGCCGCGUGAGUGAAGAAGGUCUUCGGAUCGUAAAGCUCUGUUGUUAGAGAAGAACACGUGCUAGGUAACUACUAGCGCCUUGACGGUAUCUAACCAGAAAGUCACGGCUAACUACGUGCCAGCAGCCGCGGUAAUACGUAGGUGACAAGCGUUGUCCGGAUUUAUUGGGCGUAAAGGGAGCGCAGGCGGUCUGUUUAGUCUAAUGUGAAAGCCCACGGCUUAACCGUGGAACGGCAUUGGAAACUGACAGACUUGAAUGUAGAAGAGAAAAUGGAAUUCCAAGUGUAGCGGUGGAAUGCGUAGAUAUUUGGAGGAACACCAGUGGCGAAGGCGAUUUUCUGGUCUAAGCAUUGACGCUGAGGCUCGAAAGCGUGGGGAGCG